rnacentral:rRNA from 1 species
GAUGAACGCUGGCGGCGUGCCUAAUACAUGCAAGUCGAGCGAACAGACGAGGAGCUUGCUCCUCUGACGUUAGCGGCGGACGGGUGAGUAACACGUGGAUAACCUACCUAUAAGACUGGGAUAACUUCGGGAAACCGGAGCUAAUACCGGAUAAUAUAUUGAACCGCAUGGUUCAAUAGUGAAAGACGGUUUUGCUGUCACUUAUAGAUGGAUCCGCGCCGCAUUAGCUAGUUGGUAAGGUAACGGCUUACCAAGGCAACGAUGCGUAGCCGACCUGAGAGGGUGAUCGGCGGCACUGGAACGGAGCCACGGUCCAGACUCCUACGGGAGGCAGCAGUAGGGAAUCUUCCGCAAUGGGCGAAAGCUUGACGGAGCAACGCCGCGUGAGUGAUGAAGGUCUUCGGAUCGUAAAACUCUGUUAUUAGGGAAGAACAAAUGUGUAAGUAACUAUGCACGUCUUGACGGUACCUAAUCAGAAAGCCACGGCUAACUACGUG